rnacentral:rRNA from 1 species
AGAUAAUAGAUACCCGGGUAGUCCUGGCCCUCAACGUUGCUCGCUCGUUUUACGGAGUAUCGACCCUCUGUGAGACUAAAGCUAAACGCGGUAAGCGAGCCGCCUGGGUAGUACGAUCGCAAGAUUAAAACUCAAAGGAAUAGACGGGGACUCGCACAAGCAGUGGAUUAUGCGGCUUAAUUCGUCGGUAAACGAAGAACCUUACCAAGGUUAGAAACCCAACUGCAUCCGACCUGAAAGGGACGGAGCCUUCGAGGGUGUUGGGCAGGUGAUGCAUGGUCGUCGUCAGUUCGUGGUUUGAAACUGUUCCCUUCAGUGGGGUAACGAACGCAACCCCCG